GCCGCCCAUAAUAGCGGCAUCUCCUCCUCUCCCUCCCUCCCUCUUCUCUUCUCUUAUCAGAAGGAGAAGGCGAAGGCGAAGUAUCGGUUAGAUCUGUAUUCUUAGUGGCACCGCGCGUCUUAAUUUUUUUCGCUGGAACUUAUAGCAAUCAUUUAAAUCUGAUAUGAAUAUUUCGUGCUCCAUUAGCUCGCUGAAUGUUAAUACGUAGUAGUGAUUUUUUUGUGCUUAUGCAAAACUGCUAAUAUUUGCAAAGUAAUCGCGGCGGCAAGUGUUACAUGUGUUUUUUUACCCUUGAAUCAUGCAUAGGAGGUUUAUUUAUACAGUAAGUACGGCGCGAAAUGUUGCAGGUGGUUUUUACCCUUGAAUCUGUGGAUUCUGUACAGGAGGGUUAUUAUGUCUCGUGUAGAUAUGUGUAGUCAACCUUAUGUUAAUCAAAAUGCGAAUGCUCCUGGAAUGCCGCAAAAUGACAGCACUCGAUUCUGCAUUUUGCUUUGAAACCAUGGAAUACUGGUAGCAGUGUAAUCUGUGUGGUGUCUGAUUUUGAGUGCCAAAAUACAUCCUAAUGUAUAUGGUUCAAUGUGACGCUAAUUUCUUGUUCCAACUUCAAAUUAUCUUGUUUCCAGACCUAUUCCGUCCUAUUUACUUUUUUUGCCCUAGGCCGAGCGCUUACCUCUUAAGCCAUGGGGUGGCGUGGUAUUCCACGGGAGAGGUUUUUGUGGCACACGUUACACGUGUGAUGGGCAUACAUUCAGUUUGUCAUUCUGGCUGCCCAUCUGCGCCAGCAGCAGUAUGGAAAGCCUGUUUGGAUGAUACAAAUUUACAUGCUAACCACAGUAUGUAGCUUUUUCUUUCAACCCAAUGUGGUUCCUGAUCCGUUUAUGCUUGGUUUUAUGAAUGUUUCUGCAAUUUUACUGCAUUUCUAUGUAACAAAUCACUCCUGCCAUGUCGCUCUGAAUUCUCCAUCCUUUAGUUAGCAUAUUUAUUCUUCAGCUUCAAGAUCACAGAUGCAUAUAGGCUGGCUUGAUUCAUUUGUUAGCAUAUGCGCUUCUGCUUCACAAAUCACAUGUGCACCAUAUAGAUUGAGUACAAUGUCAAACAUUGACUAUUGAGUAUUGAGUAUGGAAAUCAAAUAUGGAGCUACUUGUUGUGGUAGCAUUCCAUUGAAACUAGUGCUUUCUGUCAUCAGGUUGGUAACCGGAUCAUCAGGAAGAGGAUCCAUGUCCGUGUGGAGCAUGUCCAGCCAUCCAGGUGCACCGAGGAGCUCCGCCUGAGGAAAAUCAAGAACGAUCAGCUCAAGGCUGAAGCCAAGGCCCGUGGGGAGGUUAUCAGCACCAAGAGGCAGCCCGAGGGACCCAAACCUGGCUUCAUGGUUGAGGGUGCUACACUGGAGACAGUCACCCCCAUUCCGUAUGAUGUGGUCAAUGAUCUCAAGGGUGGUUACUAGAAUGCCUGUUUCUU
rnacentral:lncRNA from 1 species